rnacentral:rRNA from 1 species
UACGUAGGUGGCAAGCGUUGUCCGGAAUUAUUGGGCGUAAAGCGCGCGCAGGCGGUCCUUUAAGUCUGAUGUGAAAGCCCACGGCUCAACCGUGGAGGGUCAUUGGAAACUGGGGGACUUGAGUACAGAAGAGAAGAGUGGAAUUCCACGUGUAGCGGUGAAAUGCGUAGAUAUCGGGAGGAACACCAGUGGCGAAGGCGACUUUCUGGCCUGUUCUUGACGCUGAGGCGCGAAAGCUAGGGGAGCAAACGGG